GACAGAGGAUGCAAGCGUUAUCCGGAAUGAUUGGGCGUAAAGAGCUCGUAGGCGGUUUGUUGCGUCGGCUGUGAAAUCCCGAGGCUCAACCUCGGGUCUGCAGUCGAUACGAGCAAACUAGAGUGUUGCAGGGGAGACUGGAAUUCCUGGUGUAGCGGUGAAAUGCGCAGAUAUCAGGAGGAACACCGGUGGCGAAGGCGGGUCUCUGGGCAACAACUGACGCUGAGGAGCGAAAGCAUGGGGGAGCGAACAGG
rnacentral:rRNA from 1 species